rnacentral:rRNA from 1 species
AGACCCGAAACCCGGUGAUCUAGCCAUGGGCAGGUUGAAGGUUGGGUAACACUAACUGGAGGACCGAACCGACUAAUGUUGAAAAAUUAGCGGAUGACCUGUGGCUGGGGGUGAAAGGCCAAUCAAACCGGGAGAUAGCUGGUUCUCCCCGAAAGCUAUUUAGGUAGCGCCUCGUGAAUUCAUCUCCGGGGGUAGAGCACUGUUUCGGCUAGGGGGCCAUCCCGGCUUACCAACCCGAUGCAAACUGCGAAUACCGGAGAAUGUUAUCACGGGAGACACACGGCGGGUGCUAACGUCCGUCGUGAAGAGGGAAACAACCCAGACCGCCAGCUAAGGUCCCAAAGUCAUGGUUAAGUGGGAAACGAUGUGGGAAGGCCCAGACAGCCAGGAUGUUGGCUUAGAAGCAGCCAUCAUUUAAAGAAAGCGUAAUAGCUCACUGGUCGAGUCGGCCUGCGCGGAAGAUGUAACGGGGCUAAACCAUGCACCGAAGCUGCGGCAGCGACACUCAGGUGUUGUUGGGUAGGGGAGCGUUCUGUAAGCCUGUGAAGGUGUGUCGUGAGGCAUGCUGGAGGUAUCAGAAGUGCGAAUGCUGACAUAAGUAACGAUAAAGCGGGUGAAAAGCCCGCUCGCCGGAAGACCAAGGGUUCCUGUCCAACGUUAAUCGGGGCAGGGUGAGUCGACCCCUAAGGCGAGGCCGAAAGGCGUAGUCGAUGGGAAACGGGUUAAUAUUCCCGUACUUGGUGUUACUGCGAAGGGGGGACGGAGAAGGCUAUGUUGGCCGGGCGACGGUUGUCCCGGUUUAAGCGUGUAGGUGUGUGUUCCAGGUAAAUCCGGUUCACUUUAACACUGAGGCGUGAUGACGAGGCACUACGGUGCUGAAGCAACAAAUGCCCUGCUUCCAGGAAAAGCCUCUAAGCAUCAGGUAACAUCAAAUCGUACCCCAAACCGACACAGGUGGUCAGGUAGAGAAUACCAAGGCGCUUGAGAGAACUCGGGUGAAGGAACUAGGCAAAAUGGUGCCGUAACUUCGGGAGAAGGCACGCUGACAUGUAGGUGAAGUGAUUUACUCAUGGAGCUGAAGUCA